UACAAUCAAUGAUGAAUGUUGUUAAUCGUACUGAGAUAACAGUGAUUAUCAUACCAAUUAUCACCAUCUUUCGGCUGAGAUUGUA
rfam:Macleaya cordata isolate BLH2017 scaffold1707, whole genome shotgun sequence.